UCUCUCAAUUCAGCUUCCUGCUCCCCCCGGGUCAGGCGAUGCCGGUGGCCUUGGAGAGCUGACUUUGUCCAGCCGCCUCCCACGGCCUGUGGCUUGCUCUCCCUUCUUCCUCUCUGCCCACUCUAAACUGUCUUGCUGCUGGUGCCUCUGUCUCGUCCUCGAUGCCCUUGACCUCUCCUGGUGCGCUCUCCCUCCUUUCAACGCUCCUGAACGAGCCACCCUGUAGCAAGUACUGAGAUUGCACUAAGUGGCAGAGCCUUUGCGAAUCCGGAGAGGCAGAUGAAAUGCUGCCUUUCCACCCCUGUGCCAGCAGCGCUCACCCCCACUCCCCGGCUCCAGGCCUCCUGGCCUCGCCGAUGUUCCGGAGCCCCCCAAGAGCCUUCUCUCCGUUGGGCCCUUGAGCUUAUGGUUCCAUCUACCUGGAAUGCCCACCCCUUGGCUAUUCCCAUUACGGACACACCUCAUUUUAUUGCACUUCACAGGUAUUGUGUUUUUACAGAUUGAAAGUUUGUGGCAACCCUCCAUUGAACAAUUCUAUAGGCACCAUUUUUCCAACAGCAUUUGCUCAUUUCAGGCCUCUGUGUCACAUUUGAUUGCUCUCUCUGGGGGGACCAGACGCCACGUUGCGAGGAUGCCCAAGCAGCCCUGCAGGGAAGCCCACGUCAGGAGGAACUGAUGCCUCGCACCAACAGCCAUCACCAACUUGCCAGGGAGUGGGGAUCCUGCCUCAGGACCACCAGCCAUCCAGAUGUCACGUGCUGGUGCCCCUACUUCCGUGUCUACUUUGAAUAUCAGAAAGGAUCUGCCCACAGCUGGGACAGGAAUGGACACCCAGCUCUCCCUACGGGAUGUCACUGUCCACAGCAAGAAGCCCUGCAGCUCUCCUCCCCUCCGCAUCCCAGCCCCUCGUCCAGAGGCCUCACGGAAAGAGCUAAGUAUCCAAUGAGAGCUGAAGCGAGAGGGAAAAGCCCAUCCACGUGGCUUCGCUGCUUUCCCGGGGGCCCUGCUCAGCUUGGUGGCCCUGUGUCACUGCACUUAGCACCCCUGCCUUGCCCACCAAUGCCAUGCUUCCAGCGGCUUCCCGGGUGGAGGUAGACACCUGGGCUGUGGAAGCCAACUCAUAAAAGGUUGUGAGGUUUCCUGCCCAAGUUAGUAGAAAUUAAAACAUUUAAGGGCCAAGCUGGCCACAGGGGCUCCAGUUCUGGGUUGAUGGACAGGCUGGGCCUGAGCCUUUGCAGGGAGGAAAGAGGUCCCUCCUCCAGGCGUUGGCCACGCAGGACUGCCUGCUCCUUGGCUGAACACCAAGCCAGCCACUCUCGCGGGGGCCCCGAAUAGGAGGCCACAAGGUCCCCAGCGAGAU